rnacentral:rRNA from 1 species
AUGCCCAUCGCCCGCGAGGAGUUGCUGGGACUGAAGGAACACAUGGAGCCCCCGCCGCCAUCUCCAUCCGUCUACCUUGACAUUCCUCCGUCGCCCUGUGGCGGCAGUGUCGGGGACCUGGUGCUUCCAUACAUCACUCGCAUUCUGAUGGAGGAGGACAUCGACGACAGGUUCUUCUACCAGUACCCAGACCAUCUUGCCUUCCUCCAGGCGCAGCAGCAAUUUACCCAAAUUCUUGAUGAUGCCAAGAACUUACUGUCCUGCGAAGGUGGCGACAUGGAGAAGAUGCAUUCCGAUGCGUCUUUGCAGGGUAUUCGUGGAGGCAGCAUGUGCUUGGCUGACAAGGACGUCCCGAGUUGGACGUUCUCGGAUGGUGCUGAGGUGGACAAUAAUGGUGAUCAGAGCAAACUCAACCGCUCCAAUGAAGCCAUGCUUAACUUUGCAUUCUUGAAAGGCAUGGAGGAGGCCAACAAGUUCUUGCCUAGAGACAACCAACCGCAGGCUGAUGUCUUCAGCGUCGACCAAGCGAAAGAGAUUUUUGGGCGAAGCAUUAGUGGUGGGGCACGCAAGGGUCAGCGUGAUGUGGACAAGCUGGAGGAAGUGGUGGGCAGGUCCAGCAAACUGCUGAUGCCGGAGCUGGAAGAGGAUGGCGCCCGCGAGAUGAUCAACAAAAUAAUGCUGAAUAGUUACGAACUAUGUGGGGAGACCAUGGAGAAGCUGCAAAUCACCAUGGAGAACAUCAGAGCUGAUAGAAAAAAUAAGAAGGCGGUGCGGGGAAAGCAGGGAAAGAAAGAGGCGGUGGACCUGCGCGGGCUGUUGCUAUGCUGCGCACAGGAGGUGGCCACCGGCAACCGUCAUGGCGCGGGCAAUCUGCUGAAACAGAUCAGGCAACAUGCUUCCGCAACAGGAGAUGCCGCUCAGCGGCUGGCGUAUUGUUUCGCCAAGGGGCUUGAGGCCCGGCUGGCGGGCACUGGGAGCCAGGUGUACAGGUCACUCAUGGCGAAGCACACCUCGACCAUGGAGUUCCUCAAAGGUUACGAGCUGUUCAUGGCAGCCUGCUCCUUCAAAAGGGUGGCGUUCACAUUCUCCAGCAUGACCAUCUUCGAUGCCGUGGAAGGGAAGAGCAAGUUGCACAUUGUGGAUUAUGGCUUGCAUUAUGGGUGCCAGUGGCCGGGCCUGCUGGCUUGGCUGGCGACUAGGGACGGCGGGCCACCGGAGGUGAGGAUCACCGGGAUUGACCUCCCGCAGCCCGGGUUCCGCCCGGCUAAGAGGCUUGAGGAGACAGGGCGGGCACUCAGCAACUGUGCCCGUCAGUUUGGCUUGCCGUUCAAGUUCCAUGCCAUCGCGGCCAAGUGGGAGACUAUCCGUGCCGAGGACCUCAACAUCGACCCUGACGAGGUGCUUGUGGUGAAUGACCUGUUCAAUUUCAACACCUUGAUGGACGAGAGCCUUGUUAUCGACAGACCCAGCCCCAGGGAUGUGGUCCUCAGCAACAUCCGGGAGAUGCAGCCAGAUGUGUUCAUCCAAGGUGUUGUGAACGGUUCGAGCGGCCCAUUUUUCUUGGCGCGGUUUCGGGAGGCGCUCUUCUUUUACUCAUCGGUGUUCGACAUGCUUGACGCCACCACACCACCAGAUAGCUACCAGCGCUUCGUUCUCGAGCGGGACAUGUUCGGGCAGUGUGCUCUGAAUACUAUCGCCUGCGAGAGUGCAGACCGGGUAGAGCGUCCUGAGACAUACAAACAGUGGCAGCUGAGAAACCAACGUGCAGGCCUCAGACAGCUGCCACUGAAGCCGAUUAUCACUAAGGUGGCAUCAGGCAAGGUCAAGAGCCUGUACCACAAGGAGUUUGUUGUGGAUGUGGAUCAGGGGUGGUUGCUGCAGGGGUGGAAGGGGCGCAUCCUAUAUGCUCACUCGGCGUGGGUGGCAGACGACACUAGCUCGGAGUAUUAG